AAAUUACGAGUAGCAUUGUUAUCUAAAGAGAAAUAAGAUUAAUACAGUAUUGGUUGUUUAAACAAAUAGAGUUAAUCCAUCAAAACUGAGCAUGGAUAAUGGAGUUGGAGGUGUGAAGGCCAACCAAAAUCUUGAAGAUGGUUGAGAUUUGUAGUACCAAAAAGAAAAAGACAACAGAGAUUAAUAGCAUAUCUUUAUUAUAAUAUAAGCAUCAUACCACAUUACAAAGCAACAAUAGAAUUAAAGUUGGUAAUCCCCCAUCAAAGAGACAAACAAUCCCACCCAUUAUUUCUAUUUAUCGUAUGAAAUUAAAAAGCAUAGAGUUUAGAAAGGAGGAGGAGCUGGAUAAACCAAGAAAGGCCUUCCACAAGAUGAGAUUUUUGGAUCGCAAUAAUCCGCAUGGAAUGCAUCCUUGAGCUUGCGCAGCCCGUUGUUACCCCCAAUCCCUAGUAACAGCGAUAUCAGAGCCACUAUAACGAUGCACAUGCAAAGCAUGUAUAUUCUACAACAAAGACACAUCUUUAGUCUAAACAACAACAAAAAAGGAGUUUUUUUUUUUUAU
rnacentral:lncRNA from 1 species